rnacentral:lncRNA from 1 species
GGCACUUUGAGUUCUCGUCAGUCUGUGUUUCCUGCCCUCCUCCUGCCCGCGGCCCCGGGCCCCUCCGCCGUCGCUCAGGCUGUGUGCCGAGGCCGUCAGCUCCGCUCCCCGCCGACUCCCUCCGCCCCCGUCCCCCGGGGCCGACCCUCCGCUGCAGCUUUUGGUGCGGAAGAGGCGGCUGAGGCGGACCCGCAGCGAUCCCUUCCUGCCUCCCGCCGCCCCGGGGCCGGGCACGGCUCUCCGAGCGGCGGCGGCGGCGGCGGCUCCGCGGGGCGGCUCCUGCGGGUCGGCGGGGCCGGGGCUGCCCGGCUCUUCCUCGGAGCAGCUCUCGGCCUCGUCGGGCUCCAACGCCUCGAGCACCAGCAGCGCGUCGCUCGUCUCCUCGGCGGCGGGCGGCC